UCCGUGGGUGAACCUGCGGAAGGAUC
rnacentral:rRNA from 1 species